AGAGUUUGAUCCUGGCUCAGGACGAACGCUGGCGGCGUGCCUAACACAUGCAAGUCGAACGGGAUCCAUGCCAUGAAGUUUUCGGAUGGAUUGGUGUGGUGAGAGUGGCGAACGGGCGAGUAACGCGUGAGCAACCUACCUCGUACUGGGGGAUAACGUCGGGAAACCGGCGCUAAUACCGCAUAAGACUACGAUGUCGCAUGGCGUUGUAGUCAAAGCUCCGGCGGUACGAGACGGGCUCGCGUCCGAUUAGCUAGUUGGUAGGGUAACGGCCUACCAAGGCGACGAUCGGUAGCCGGACUGAGAGGUCGGCCGGCCGCAUUGGGACUGAGACACGGCCCAGACUCCUACGGGAGGCAGCAGUGGGGAAUAUUGCGCAAUGGGGGAAACCCUGACGCAGCGACGCCGCGUGAAGGAAGAAGGCCUUCGGGUUGUAAACUUCUUUGGCAGGGGACGAAGAAAGACGGUACCCUGAGAACAAGCCACGGCUAACUACGUGCCAGCAGCCGCGGUAAUACGUAGGUGGCGAGCGUUGUCCGGAAUUACUGGGCGUAAAGGGCGUGUAGGCGGGGGGACAAGUCAGAUGUGAAAUACCGCAGCUUAACUGCGGGGCUGCAUCUGAAACUGUUCUUCUUGAGUGUCGGAGAGGAAAGUGGAAUUCCCAGUGUAGCGGUGAAAUGCGUAGAGAUUGGGAGGAACACCAGUGGCGAAGGCGGCU
rnacentral:rRNA from 1 species